rnacentral:rRNA from 1 species
AGAGUUUGAUCUGGCUCAGGACGAACGCUGGCGGCGUGCUUAACACAUGCAAGUCGAACGGUGAAGCCCUUCGGGGUGGAUCAGUGGCGAACGGGUGAGUAACACGUGGGUAAUCUGCCCUGCAUUCUGGGACAAGCCUUGGGAAACGAGGUCUAAUACCGGAUACGACGCAUCUCGGCAUCGGGUGUGCGUGGAAAGCUCUGGCGAUUCAGGAUGCCCGGCGGCCUAUCAGCUUGUUGGUGGGGUAACGGCUCACCAAGGCGACGACCCGUAGCUGGUCUGAGAGGGCGACCGGCCACACUGGGACUGAGACACGGCCCAGACUCCUACGGGAGGCAGCAGUGGGGAAUAUUGGACAAUGGGGGAAACCCUGAUCCAGCGACGCCGCGUGUGGGAAGAAGGCCUGCGGGUUGUAAACCACUUUCAGCGGGGACAAAC